rnacentral:rRNA from 1 species
CCUACGGGGGGCUGCAGUGGGGAAUUUUGGACAAUGGGGGCAACCCUGAUCCAGCCAUUCCGCGUGAGUGAAGAAGGCCUUCGGGUUGUAAAGCUCUUUCGGCAGGAACGAAACGGUCUUGGUUAAUACCUGAGGCUAAUGACGGUACCUGAAGAAGAAGCACCGGCUAACUACGUGCCAGCAGCCGCGGUAAUACGUAGGGUGCUUGCGUUAAUCGAAAUUACUGGGGGUAGUUUUUGCGCACACGGGUGAAAUCCCCGGGCUUAACCUGGGAACUGCGUUUGUGACUGUAAGACUCGAGUGUGGCAGAGGGGGGUGGAAUUCCACGUGUAGCAGUGAAAUGCGUAGAGAUGUGGAGGAACACCGAUGGCGAAGGCAGCCCCCUGGGUCAACACUGACGCUCAUGCACGAAAGCGUGGGUAGCAAACAGGAUUAGAUACCCCAGUAGUC